CUCUUUGGGACCCGCAGCUCUGACGGAUCUAUUUGUUUGUAAUCAAUGGGAAUGUGCAGGAAAGUGUACCCCCCAGCAUCGCUGCUUUGAGGAUUAAAAGCGCCUCGCUUUCAUAAUGACAGUAAUUAACUUGUUUGAAAAUAGUUGUCAACUUAAUGUUAAAUAAGGAAGCUUUGCGCUGAGGUCAUUCGGGUUCCAGGUGAAAACUAUGGAAGACAAAUAUUCAAAGCAAGAAUGGGCAUGAAUGUGAUUGGGCUUGGUUCUGAUCAAGUUUACAUUUGUUUAAAGGCCCAGCCCAAAGCCUGUGAAAGUCAUUUGGAAUAAAUCAGCUGGAGUCAAUGGGAUUACCCUACUGUCAGCCCGGUAUGGCUGAGAUCAAACCCCAGAUCAUUAUCUUUUUGUGGUUUUCCUUUCCGCACACUGAGAGGGAGUCGGUGCGAAAAGCCAUUGAUUGUUUUGUAAAACAUGCCUUGGAUUCAGGGGGAGUCUGCCUGCCUGCAGGAUAUGGCCCAUAAAGCCACCGGGAUGGUGACGAUUCCUCCCUCUGGAUGUGCUGCCUCUGCUGGGCUUUGCUGCCAGAGGUAAUCAGAGACUUAACAUCAAAAUGCAGCACGAAGGGAUGAGUUAAACCACCACAUUCUUCGGGGAAACGCUGAUGGGUGACAGUUGUCUCUUGCCACCUCGGUCUCCUGCUCUUGCAUCAGAACCAAUUACUUAAUUUCUCUUUUUGUGCACGACAGUGAUGCAUGGAGAACAAGUCUGUGGAAAUACUGAAUGCCGUCCAGGUGAAGGGCUAUGUCAUGAGAUUUGAAAGCAGGAGCUUGAUUCUAUUGUCAGCCUAAGGCAUGGUGCAGGGCUGCACCACUCCAAGAGAAACUCCAAGGAGGAAGUAUGACUCAGAGAGCUGCAAUUCCUUCCACAGUUCCUCCUUGUUCCAGCCAGGGAAGUAAGUUACUUUGGUGUGAGCUGCUAGACUAAAGCUUGCUUCUCCCCUGGUGCUCACAAGCCUCAGCUUGCAGGACAGAAAGAAGAGGGAUAAAAAAGGCCUUGUGCCUGGAUGAGGUGCCACCAGCCUGGGAAAUGGUGGCACCACUUGAGCCCCCCUUGGGGUUUCACUGUGGGCAAUCACCUGCCAGCCUCUCACAUUUAACAGAAAGAGCAAACCACCCACCUUUUUAUACUUAGAGACUGGCAGAGAAUUUGCAGGCAAUCAUUUUCUUACAUUAUCAUUUUCAAAACAAAAACACUAACUGGGGCAUUCCUGGUGAAAACGUUCAAAAUCAGUAUUUCCUCACUGGCAAUGCAACUCUGAGGCCUGAGGACAUCCACUGAUGUAGGAUCUGCUUGCAAAUGGUGACUCCUCUACCUGCCUGACAUUCUCUCAGCAUCAACAUGCUCUGGAGAAGAACAUAAAAUAAUAAUAACAACAAAUCAUGAAAUUCACAGCCUAUUUUUGAAUAUGCUUUUUUCAUGGAGGGCAGAAAUGCUGUACUAUGGAGAGAUCUUCAACUGAGCACUAUUUUAAAAGAAUUUUUAAUGUGGCAGUAAAAUACUGUGGUAACUGAGACAGUGUCAACUGAGAGCACAGACUAAAUACUGCAAGAUAAAAGGGGCCAGGAAAACAAGACAGAAAUUUAUCCAUAUGUGCAACAGCUAGAUGAUCCAGUUAGGAAUAAGACCUUGUUAUUAAACCCUCUAGGAUUACCAGGGAUAAGUUUUCAGGAAGUAUUUUGCAGUUAAAAAAAACCAAAACCAAACCAAAACCAACAACAAAAAAACAACUAAGCAAAACCAGGAGCAAGAAUGGACUUCAGAAAACAGAUCUGGCCCUCAUGUGGUGUUCAGCAGCACAGAUACACACACUCACACUUCCUGCCUGAGUUAUAUCAGUUUCAAAAAUAGCCUGUGAAAGAAGAUUCAGGCUAUUGGAGCAACUUCUGCUUUCAGCAAAGUGGACUGAAACAUGGAGCUGAAUUUAUACCUCCAUGUGUGAUUUGAGGUACCCACAUGUAUAAAGCUCAUCCUUCUGCUGUGAGCUCUGAAUGGCAUCAGUGCUAAUUCACCUGGGUACCUGACAGAUAUCUCCAGAGAAAUAUAGAAAGAGAAACACCACUCACUUAACUGGUCUUUAUUCCUACACCAAAAAUAAAUGAUGUAAAGGAAGCCUGCAGUUCAAACGUGCAAAAGUUGCUUUUGUUGUGCAUCAUUUUAUUCAGGUAUUUUAAACAGGCUUAGUUAAAAUAAUCAGUUGAGCUUUUCUGACAACUUUGUAAGAAAGCCUUGUGUGGCUAAUUCUUAAAUAUCAUCAGACAGCAGGCUAAUUGUGUCCUGGUGCACAUUGUUGCCCCAGGUUGCAGAUAACUUCCUGUGCUGAAGCGAUGACCUGAGAGCGAUAUCCUCGUAGACAAGGAAAUAUCAUCUUCCAGUGCUGCUGGGUCUUAGACUAAUCUGUGAGAACCCCCUUCAGCUGUCUGCCUGUGCUUAGCCAAGUUAUUAGGCACAUUCAGGAUGCAUUAAACCUUUUAAACUACUGGGUGGGUUUGAGGUCACACAGCCAGCUGAUUUAGUCAUACCUCUGGUGCUAACAAAAACAGAAUAUACUGGACCUGCCUGGACUGUUGCCUGUAUGGGUAUGUAAUAAAUGUUCUUGAAUGUGUUUAAUCAUACAGAUAUGCAACAGGCACCUUACCACCUUCUGUAGUAUCUAUCCUGUUUUCAGUGCUUAGCCAUAGCAUUUUGACAGGGGAUAAUACCUUGGAAGAGCAAACAUUCACAUUUCUGAACAUGUACUCAAUGAAAAAUAUGGCAACAGAACCAUUAGUGGACCAAGGAAUGUACCAUUUUGAACAGAAGUAAAUUAAAAAUAAUUCCAUUAAGUCAAGUCAGGGCAGAACUUACUCUCCCUGAUAAGUAACAUAAUAAAAUUGGCUGGAUGAUUCACUGUGAAUGGUUUAGUGAAAAUAUUAUCUGUUUUGUAUACCCUUCCUUUUUCUUUUCUCCAUAUUCCUCUUUCUCUUCCUCAUCCCUUUUUUAGCCUUUUCUACCUUGUGAUGCCACACAGAGAAGAGCUAAGACCCAGAGUAAGGCAGAGUGAUAAAGAUAAAAACAAGCCACUGCUGGAAGUGCAGGAGCUGGUGAAAUACCAAUAAUCCAUGUUGAUAUCUGACAUGGCUAACAAAGGAAAGGCUCAUUCCUUGUAUUGUCUGGGUUCCUGAGAGUGCCCCUUGCCUGCUCCGUUGCACAAUAUAGCCCGGAUAAAAUGCAGCUGCAAGAGGGAAAAGGUGACACUGAUCCUGCUCUAAACAGGAGUCGAUACUGUGCUCAUCACUGCAGUGCCUGAAAGCAGGACACACUAUUGCUGCUGCAGGACAAAGUUCAUGGAAUAUCAAGUGUUGAUAGUCUGUGCUCAGAGUCUGUAAAUGUACGUACAAAUGGGUCACAUCCACAGCUGGCAUCUGUCUGGCUCCAGAUCUGGUCCAGUAAGUUUCUAAAGAGUAGUUCACGACAGACCAUUGAAAACUUCCAAAGGAAGUCCCAGGGCACAUGACAGAAAUGGCCAAGUGGGACAGCACAGUAGAAGAAAUCCUGUGGGUUCAUUUCUUUAAAGCAUAGAAGUCAUUAAUCAUUUCUAUUCCUUUCCAUUUGAAACAGCUGCCUGCCUGUAUUUGCUAAGUAACUGCUUUCUAACCACACAGCAACUAAGUUGUGGGCCCCAGAAUGCUCAUGCUUCCAGAUAUUAAUAAACAAUUUCCCUCCUUCACUGUGUCAAUGAAAGCACGUCAACAUUCUUAGCAUCUGGUUUUGGUAGGGAAAUAAAACGCUGAUGGUUCCACACUUGAUGAA